AUCCAGAGAACUCAGUUGGUAGAGCAUAUGACUCUAAAUCUCAGGGCAAUGGGUUCAAGCCCCACGUUGGGCA